rnacentral:rRNA from 1 species
AACAGGAUUAGAUACCCUGGUAGUCCACGCCGUAAACGAUGUCGACUUGGAGGUUGUGCCCUUGAGGCGUGGCUUCCGGAGCUAACGCGUUAAGUCGACCGCCUGGGGAGUACGGCCGCAAGGUUAAAACUCAAAUGAAUUGACGGGGGCCCGCACAAGCGGUGGAGCAUGUGGGUUAAUUCGAUGCAACGCGAAGAACCUUACCUACUCUUGACAUCCAGAGAACUUAGCAGAGAUGCUUUGGUGCCUUCGGGAACUCUGAGACAGGUGCUGCAUGGCUGUCGUCAGCUCGUGUUGUGAAAUGUUGGGUUAAGUCCCGCAACGAGCGCAACCCUUAUCCUUUGUUGCCAGCGGUUAGGCCGGGAACUCAAAGGAGACUGCCAGUGAUAAACUGGAGGAAGGUGGGGAUGACGUCAAGUCAUCAUGGCCCUUACGAGUAGGGCUACACACGUGCUACAAUGGCAUAUACAAAGAGAAGCGACCUCGCGAGAGCAAGCGGACCUCAUAAAGUAUGUCGUAGUCCGGAUUGGAGUCUGCAACUCGGCUCCAUGAAGUCGGAAUCGCUAGUAAUCGUGGAUCAGAAUGCCACGGUGAAUACGUUCCCGGGCCUUGUACACACCGCCCGUCACACCAUGGGAGUGGGUUGCAAAAGAAGUAGGUAGCUUAACCUUCGGGAGGGCGCUUACCACUUUGUGAUUCAUGACUGGGGUGAAGUCGUAACAAGGUAACC